GACGAACGCUGGCGGCGUGCUUAACACAUGCAAGUCGAACGGACAGGCGCGGCUUUUGUGGGGUGCACGAGUGGCGAACGGGUGAGUAACACGCGAGUAACCUGCACCUGUCUUUGGGGUAACUUCAGGAAACUGGGGAUCAUACCGGAUAGGAGCUCCUGCUGCGUGGUGGGGGUUGGAAAGUUACGGCUGUUGUGGCUGGAAUAGAUGCUUAUCAGCUUGUUGGUGGGGUAGUGGCUUACCAAGGUUUUGACGGGUAGCCGGCCUGAGAGCGCGACCGGCCACAAGGGUACUGAGAGACGGCGCAGUCGGCUACGGGAGGCAGAAGUCGAGAGUAUUGCACAGUGAGCGCAAGCCUGAUGUGGCAACGCUGCGUGCGGGAUGACGUCCUUCGGGUUGUAAACCACUUUCGCCUGUGACGAGGCCGGAGUGACGGUAAUGGAUAAAGAAGCACCGGCUAACUACGUG
rnacentral:rRNA from 1 species